GGCUGUUUGCCCGAGUGGUUAAGGGGGCAGACUUAAGAUCUGCUGGAUCAACGUCCGCGUGGGUUCGAACCCCACAGCAGCCA